UACGUAGGGUCCGAGCGUUGUCCGGAAUUACUGGGCGUAAAGAGCUCGUAGGUGGUUUGUCGCGUUGUUCGUGAAAACUCACAGCUCAACUGUGAGCUUGCGGGCGAUACGGGCAGACUAGAGUACUGCAGGGGAGACUGGAAUUCCUGGUGUAGCGGUGAAAUGCGCAGAUAUCAGGAAGAACACCAAUGGCGAAGGCAGCUCUCUGGGACGGUAC
rnacentral:rRNA from 1 species